GGCUUUAGCCUGCUAUCACUUACCCAUGUCUUUUGAGUACCUUACGUUUCCUCGGUGGGUUCGCCCACCGAUUGGACAAACUUAAACCCUUUGCAGUUGAAAUCAGCGUCUGAAAAAACUUAAUAGUUACAACUUUCAACAACGGAUCUCUUGGUUCUGGCAUCGAUGAAGAACGCAGCGAAAUGCGAUAAGUAGUGUGAAUUGCAAAAUUCAGUGAAUCAUCGAAUCUUUGAACGCACAUUGCGCCCCUUGGUAUUCCAUGGGGCAUGCCUGUUCGAGCGUCAUUUGUACCUUCAAGCUCUGCUUGGUGUUGGGUGUUUGUCUCCUGUAGACUCGCCUUAAAACAAUUGGCAGCCGGCGUAUUGAUUUCGGAGCGCAGUACAUCUCGCGCUUUGCACUCAUAACGACGACAUCCAAAAGUACAUUUUUACACUCUUGACCUCGGAUCAGGUAGGGAUACCCGCUGAACUUAAGCAUAUCAAUAAGCGGAGGAAGAUCAUUACCUAGAGUUGUAGGCUUUGCCUGCUAUCUCUUACAUGUCUUUUGAUACUUAGUUUCUCGGUGGGUUUCCCACCGAUUGGACAAACUUAAACCUUUGCAUUUGAAAUCUCGUCUGAAAAACUUAAUGUUCACUUUCACAACGGAUCUCUUGG
rnacentral:rRNA from 1 species